AACCCACAACCACGUGGAUACUAGUUGAGUUCUUAACCCACUGCGCCACAGCGGGAACUCACACCUGCUAGUUUUACUGUCUGACUGUCCUUCCGCCCAAGGUAUAGCGUGAAUGGAGCAGUGUGCUGGCCAGGGGACUGUGGCUGGGGGGGCCUGCUGUGGGGCAGGGCGGGGACGGGCAAGCUCUGGGGACGGCAGAGGAGAUGUUCUUGGCAUUGACAGACAAGGAUGUUGGCAUCAACAUAUCGGCUGGCCCAUGGGGUUCGUGCUUCCACUGGUGUUAGCGCUCCCUGGGGUUAAGCCAGGUUUAGGGGACCGAUUAGGAAAUGCAGGUUCACGGAGGGGCUAAACCAAAAAUGACCUGACAACGCUUGCUCCCCUGAGCCUCCCUCCUAACUGAGUUCUUCCUCAGGGGAGGAUACCCACGCCGGGAAGAGCAGGCUCCGUGCACACUUGCUCGCACACCAGCUCCCCGAGCACGGCCUCUCUCUGACUCAUGCGGGCCUGUCCGCACAGACCUUAUUUAUAGCUUUUCGCAUAUUGGCCCAGGACCUGCCUCCCGUGUGCCAGGUUCUUUCUGAAGGAGAACACAGCUCUGCGUGCUCCCGCUCCGUCUCUCCCUGCUCCACGCUCUCUCUUCCCUGAGCAGCUUCUGAGUCCAUCAGCCCUUCACCCGGGGGCAGGGAGCCAGCAGGCGGGAACACCAAGACCCACGGACCCUGCCAGCAGCUCCAGCCUCAGCCAUUCCGAGUGGGAAGGGAACCACCAUCCACGGAGGGGUGAGGUAGUUUGGGAAAAGCUAACUCAACAUCUUUUUAAAAAUCUUACCUUCGAGGACUGGCCCUCACUGACGACAUCUUGUGGGGGGGACAUUCCAGGGCCCUGUGUCCUGUCAUUUCACUUGGCUUCAUUUUUCUUGUUGGCCAGCCACUAUCUGGAGUGAUCUUAUGCAUUUCUGUGUUUAAUUGUUUACUGUCUGAUUGAGACCAGAAGACCCACUUUCUGGUUCUUUGUCCACAUUCAGUGCUUGACCUUGGAGGAGCGGUUGCUCUCUCUGCCCCAUAAUGCACCAGCCACGACCCAGGACCCUUCCGGCACGGUCCCCCAGGACCUGCCAGGUCUUCCCUCCAUUUCCACCACAUUCUCUUUCUUUGUUGCCUCCCCAAGGGAAGGAUGCUCGAAGCGGAUGAGCAUCCGUGGGUACCACGUUCGAGGGGGCUGGGUUCAACACUCGGAGAGGCAUCAACCCUCAGCCAACUCCAGAGAAGGAAUCCUAAACACUCAGAAAGGAACUGGCAGAACAAGUAGAAAAGUUAAGCCAGAACAUUGUGGGUGUGCUGUACCGUCCAGAACUUCCAAUCCCUAACUUCCACAAGCAAGAGGGGUACCAUCCCUGAGGGACAUGGGCCAGAGAAGAAUCUCAUAGAUGCAGAAAAAGACAGAGAGGCCAGGACAGAGAGAAAGGCGGGAGGGACAGACGGAGAGAGGAAGGGAGAGGUUCAGAUGGGAACAGAGACGAUGGAGAGAGAACGCAGGGUUCGCGGGGCAAAGGAUCAGCUUUCAGAACUGAAAUCCGCACAAACUCAUCUUUUCACUCGCCCUUCACUCCUGAGUUGUGGCCGAAGUGGACACUGCAGAGCCUGGCCUGCUUAGCUCCUGAGCCCAUGGAAAGGCUCUUCUUUUCCAUUGUGUUGUCUGGACUCACUUUGGCGGAAACAUGACUGACCUCACUUUCUAUUCAGCCCAACGAAAAGUGGAUUGUUGGCUCCAGAUCCCAGUUGGCUUUGCACAGAGAACAUGUACACGCAGGAUCCAGUCCCCGUGCAUCUCAGUCUCCCCCUUUAACCCAGCCUACAUGUCCCGGUACCAUCCACUCACCUGUCUGUAAGUCUUCACUGCAGAGAGAAGGUCAAGAUGCCAUAACCCCAACGGCGCCCGAAACUGUCACCGGACCAUCCGACUGCAGCCUUGAC